rnacentral:rRNA from 1 species
GGAGUUAGCCGGUGCUUCUUCUGCGAGUAACGUCACAGAUGUAAGGUAUUAACUUACACCCUUUCCUCCUCGCUGAAAGUGCUUUACAACCCGAAGGCCUUCUUCACACACGCGGCAUGGCUGCAUCAGGGUUUCCCCCAUUGUGCAAUAUUCCCCACUGCUGCCUCCCGUAGGAGUCUGGGCCGUGUCUCAGUCCCAGUGUGGCUGAUCAUCCUCUCAGACCAGCUAGGGAUCGUCGCCUAGGUGAGCCUUUACCUCACCUACUAGCUAAUCCCACCUGGGCUUAUCCAUCAGCGCAAGGCCCGAAGGUCCCCUGCUUUCCCCCGUAGGGCGUAUGCGGUAUUAGCAGUCGUUUCCAACUGUUAUCCCCCACAAAUGGGCAAAUUCCCAGGCAUUACUCACCCGUCCGCCGCUCGUCAUCUUCAAAAGCAAGCUUUUGAAAUGUUACCGCUCGACUUGCAUGUGUUAGGCCUGCCGCCAGCGUCAUCUGAGCAGAAUACAACUACUGA